UACGUAGGGUGCGAGCGUUGUCCGGAAUCACUGGGCGUAAAGGGCGCGUAGGUGGUUUGAUAAGGGUGUGGUGAAAGUCCGGGGCUCAACUCCGGAUCUGCCGUGCCGACUGUCAAACUCGAGGGCUGUAGAGGCAGACGGAAUUCCGGGUGUAGCGGUGGAAUGCGUAGAGAUCCGGAGGAAGACCGGUGGCGAAGGCGGUCUGCUGGGCAGUUUCUGACACUGAGGCGCGACAGCGUGGGGAGCAAACAGG
rnacentral:rRNA from 1 species